rnacentral:rRNA from 1 species
AGAGUUUGAUCCUGGCUCAGGAUGAACGCUAGCGACAGGCUUAACACAUGCAAGUCGAGGGGCAGCACAGGUAGCAAUACCGGGUGGCGACCGGCGCACGGGUGAGUAACGCGUAUGCAACUUACCUAUCAGAGGGGGAUAGCCCGGCGAAAGUCGGAUUAAUACCCCAUAAAACAGGGGUCCCGCAUGGGAAUAUUUGUUAAAGAUUCAUCGCUGAUAGAUAGGCAUGCGUUCCAUUAGGCAGUUGGCGGGGUAACGGCCCACCAAACCGACGAUGGAUAGGGGUUCUGAGAGGAAGGUCCCCCACAUUGGUACUGAGACACGGACCAAACUCCUACGGGAGGCAGCAGUGAGGAAUAUUGGUCAAUGGCCGAGAGGCUGAACCAGCCAAGUCGCGUGAAGGAAGAAGGAUCUAUGGUUUGUAAACUUCUUUUAUAGGGGAAUAAAGUGGAGGACGUGUCCUUUUUUGUAUGUACCCUAUGAAUAAGCAUCGGCUAACUCCGUGCCAGCAGCCGCGGUAAUACGGAGGAUGCGAGCGUUAUCCGGAAUUAUUGGGUUUAAAGGGUGCGUAGGUUGCAAGGGAAGUCAGGGGUGAAAAGCUGUAGCUCAACUAUGGUCUUGCCUUUGAAACUCUCUAGCUAGAGUGUACUGGAGGUACGUGGAACGUGUGGUGUAGCGGUGAAAUGCAUAGAUAUCACACAGAACUCCGAUUGCGCAGGCAGCGUACUACAUUACAACUGACACUGAAGCACGAAAGCGUGGGUAUCAAACAGGAUUAGAUACCCUGGUAGUCCACGCAGUAAACGAUGAAUACUAGGAGUUUGCGAUACAAUGUAAGCUCUACAGCGAAAGCGUUAAGUAAUCCACCUGGGGAGUACGCCGGCAACGGUGAAACUCAAAGGAAUUGACGGGGGCCC